GUGAUACACAUCAUACUUGUGCAAACCCAUAGAGUGUAUAACACCAACAGUGAACCGUAAUGUAAACUUUGGACUCUGGGUGAUAAUGGUGUGUCAAUGUCAGUCUAUUGAUUCUAACAAAUGUGCCAUGGUGAUGGGAAUGUCUGACGGAGAAAAUGGGCAUACACUAAAAACAAAACAUAUAGUGAUCAUCCUAACUUCUGACUGACCACCCUGGUUCAUUGCUGGGACUCACAUGAGACCAGGCCGUCCUGAAAAGUGUGACCUGGCCGGCCAGAAAAGAGAAGCAAAAUUCAACUCAGAGAAUCAAUAAGGAGUUUCCCGAAGCUGUACUGUUUCCUUCUAGCAGAACCAGGCUCAGGCCCCAGACGUCUGACUCUCAGGCAAG